rnacentral:lncRNA from 1 species
CAUUAAUUAUUGUUCAAAAAUUUCAUUAAAUUAUCUAGACUCACUUUACUAAUUUACACCCACUCCAAAUUCAAAAUUUUAAGAACCCAAACCCUAGUAAUUAGAAAACACGCUACUCCUUUUUCCCAAUCAAAUCGACUUCAAUUAUUUUCCCACGAAUUCGCAGCCUCCUAAUUCGACCUCCGGCAUGCCGGAAACCACAAAAGAAGUCCUCGUCUAGAUCACGUUUGGUACCAUUCUCAACCAACCCCAUUGAUAAAUACUGUCAAUCUCACGUUUGGUGAGUUCGCUGUCAUCCGUCUCGGCUGACGUGACGAGAUCCAAUGGCCACCGCCAAGGAUGAAACCGUUGUAAGGUGCGUUGUUCUGCUUUGUAUCGAUCCCCAAAUCUACUAGGAUUCCUCAUACCAUUUACUUACUGUUGGAAAAUGAACAUAGUAGUGUUCAUUUAUGUGUGGAAGUUGAUCCAUUGUGAUUGGAAAUAAAAUGGGAUGAGCACUUUGGUCUUGUAGGACUUGGAACUAAGUAGUGUGAAUUAAAAAAAGUGGAAAAAAUCUCACAUUACUUAGAACACUCUCUUUAGUAGUGUGUGUAUAUCCCAAUGUGGCUAACAUUUCUUAUUCACAAAAUUAACUAAUUUUUUAGUUAAUUAAGCUGGUCCAAGGAGCCACUUAGUGCUGACUCAUUAUAGCAGCCAGCUUGAUUUUGUUCCGUUUGAAAACGGAUUCUUUCAUUAUUGCAUUAAUCCACACAUAAUAGUGC